UACGAAGGGGGCUAGCGUUGUUCGGAAUUACUGGGCGUAAAGCGCGCGUAGGCGGACAUUUAAGUCAGGGGUGAAAUGCCGGGGCUCAACCUCGGAACUGCCUUUGAUACUGGAUGUCUGGAGUUCGGGAGAGGUGAGUGGAAUUCCGAGUGUAGAGGUGAAAUUCGUAGAUAUUCGGAGGAACACCAGAAGCGAAGGCGGCUCACUGGCCCGAUACUGACGCUGGAGGCGACGAAAGCGUGGGGAGCAAACAGG
rnacentral:rRNA from 1 species